rnacentral:rRNA from 1 species
AUUGAACGCUGGCGGCAGGCUUAACACAUGCAAGUCGAGCGGGGGAAGGUAGCUUGCUACCGGACCUAGCGGCGGACGGGUGAGUAAUGCUUAGGAAUCUGCCUAUUAGUGGGGGACAACAUCUCGAAAGGGAUGCUAAUACCGCAUACGUCCUACGGGAGAAAGCAGGGGAUCUUCGGACCUUGCGCUAAUAGAUGAGCCUAAGUCGGAUUAGCUAGUUGGUGGGGUAAGGCCUACCAAGGCGACGAUCUGUAGCGGGUCUGAGAGGAUGAUCCGCCACACUGGGACUGAGACACGGCCCAGACUCCUACGGGAGGCAGCAGUGGAGAAUAUUGGACAAUGGGGGGAACCCUGAUCCAGCCAUGCCGCGUGUGUGAAGAAGGCCUUAUGGUUGUAAAGCACUUUAAGCGAGGAGGAGGCUACUUUAGUUAAUACCUAGAGAUAGUGGACGCUACUCGCAGAAUAAGCACCGGCUAACUCUGUGCCAGCCGCCGCAGUAA